rnacentral:rRNA from 1 species
GGCGACCGGCGCACGGGUGAGUAACACGUAUCCAAUCUGCCAUUAACUCGGGGAUAGGCUCUUGAAAGAGAGAUUAAUACCCGAUAGUAUAUACCAUUCGCAUGUUUGGUAUAUUAAAGAAUUCGGUUAAUGAUGAGGAUGCGUUCCAUUAGCUUGUUGGUAAGGUAACGGCUUACCAAGGCAUCGAUGGAUAGGGGUUCUGAGAGGAAGGUCCCCCACACUGGUACUGAGACACGGACCAG